CAUUGCUAUACAGAAGAUCUACAGAGAUUUGUGUGAUAUCAUAUCCUUCAAAACACUACAUUCGAAAGUUUAAGACAGAUUCAAUCUAGCGGAAAGAAAACUAUAUUGAAAAUCUUGUACAGAAUAUGAUGAGUUCAAUUUGAGAAACUAUGUGUUCACUAUGCCCGUGAGAUACCC
rnacentral:lncRNA from 1 species